rnacentral:rRNA from 1 species
CUUUAUUGGAGAGUUUGAUCCUGGCUCAGGACGAACGCUGGCGGCAUGCCUAAUACAUGCAAGUCGAGCGGAGUUGAUAGGAAGCUUGCUUCCUUGAUACUUAGCGGCGGACGGGUGAGUAACACGUAGGCAACCUGCCCUCAAGUUUGGGACAACUACCGGAAACGGUAGCUAAUA